GAUGAACGCUGGCGGCGUGCCUAAUACAUGCAAGUCGAGCGAACAGAUGAGGAGCUUGCUCCUCUGACGUUAGCGGCGGACGGGUGAGUAACACGUGGAUAACCUACCUAUAAGACUGGGAUAACUUCGGGAAACCGGAGCUAAUACCGGAUAAUAUAUUGAACCGCAUGGUUCAAUAGUGAAAGACGGUUUUGCUGUCACUUAUAGAUGGAUCCGCGCCGCAUUAGCUAGUUGGUAAGGUAACGGCUUACCAAGGCAACGAUACGUAGCCGACCUGAGAGGGUGAUCGGCCACACUGGAACUGAGACACGGUCCAGACUCCUACGGGAGGCAGCAGUAGGGAAUCUUCCGCAAUGGGCGAAAGCCUGACGGAGCAACGCCGCGUGAGUGAUGAAGGUCUUCGGAUCGUAAAACUCUGUUAUUAGGGAAGAACAAAUGUGUAAGUAACUAUGCACGUCUUGACGGUACCUAAUCAGAAAGCCACGGCUAACUACGUG
rnacentral:rRNA from 1 species